rnacentral:rRNA from 1 species
GACGAACGCUGGCGGCGUGCUUAACACAUGCAAGUCGAACGGAAAGGCCCUGCUUUUGUGGGGUGCUCGAGUGGCGAACGGGUGAGUAACACGUGAGUAACCUGCCCUUGACUUUGGGAUAACUUCAGGAAACUGGGGCUAAUACCGGAUAGGAGCUCCUGCUGCAUGGUGGGGGUUGGAAAGUUUCGGCCGUUGGGGAUGGACUCGCGGCUUAUCAGCUUGUUGGUGGGGUAGUGGCUUACCAAGGCUUUGACGGGUAGCCGGCCUGAGAGGGUGACCGGCCACAUUGGGACUGAGAUACGGCCCAGACUCCUACGGGAGGCAGCAGUGGGGAAUAUUGCACAAUGGUCGGAAGCCUGAUGCAGCAACGCCGCGUGCGGGAUGACGGCCUUCGGGUUGUAAACCGCUUUCGCCUGUGACGAAGCGUGAGUGACGGUAAUGGGUAAAGAAGCACCGGCUAACUACGUG